rnacentral:lncRNA from 1 species
GUAGGCUGGAAUGCUUAUGGAAGCAUGGAGCCCUCCGUGCUUCCACUUUGUUUUCGAUAUUUGGACUUUCGAAUUGACGAUCAGCUCCGUUAGAGUUGAUCUAGAGUAUUUGAAGUAACUAGAAAAUAAAUUUUAUGUUUUUUCGAUAUCAUUUGCCUAGUGAUCGAAGGGGCUCAAAAUCAAUAAUUUUAAUGGCCGUGGUGAGCUGGUUGCAAGUUUCACGGUGUAGAAAUAUCCAAAUCGCAUGAAAUUUUGAUAGAAAAUUCUUUAUACCAUAUAAAACAAGAUCAAUAACUUUGAUCUAAAAUUUUAAGGUCAUAUCAUCAUAUUUUGUAAGAUUUUUAUUUUCAGCCGUUGAUUUUGAGCCACUUCGAUCACUCGGCAAAUAAUAUUGAAAAAUCGCAAAAUUUAUUUUCUAGAUACUUCAAAUACUCUAGAUCAAGUCUAACGGAGCCGAUCGUCGAUUCGAAAGUCCGAACAUCGAAAACAAAGUGAAAGCACGGAGCGCUUCGUGCUUCCAUAAGCAUACCAGACGCACUCUAU